UUAAAAACCUCAUGUACAACUAUAGAGAAAAAUUAUUUCGAAUAGAUGCAACUGCCGAUUUCCUUUUAGUUAUGUUACUCCAUUUAAAUACGGCUACUGAACAUGCUGAGAAGAGUAUUCUUAAUUUGAAUUCACUUAAAACAACUGCAAAAUACAAUUUGUUGCAAAAGACUAUCAGUGAUAAAAAGGUGAACACUGUUACAUGUACAUCUCCAUGUACAAUCGUAUGUAUUUUUGUUUCAACUUUUAUAUACAUAUACAUACAUAUACAUACAUAUACAUACAUAUACAUACAUANNNNNNNNNNAUACAUAUACAUACAUAUACAUACAUAUACAUACAUAUACAUACAUAUACAUACAUAUACAUACAUAUACAUACAUAUACAUACAUAUACAUACAUAUACAUACAUAUAUAUAUAUGUACAACCACGUGUACAUGAUUUACUUUACACCUUUUCUACUCACUAUAGAUCAACAAAAAAAAGAAAAGGAACUUUAAACACAUUGCUCCAUUCAAUUUCUUCCGUGAAGAACCAGAAGAAAGUAUAGGAAACGAGUCUAUUCUUGCUAUGGAUGAUAUUAUAAAAACAUGUUCAUUAGCAAAAAGUACAAAUCAAUAUGCCUCACUUUACGAGUUAAGUAAAGAGUUAUGGCUAACUGUACAAAAUAUGUAUUCUGCGUCUUAUGGUUUUGUUGGAUCAAAAAAAUUAAAAGUUCCAACGUUUGUUUUAUCAAAAAUAAGAAAUGUAGGGUUCUUGUUGAAAUGGUUUAAUAAUAAAAAUUUACCAAAUAAUAAUGUAAACUUUAUGGUUUCCCAUUAUUCUCCUUUGAUAUCGGCUAGUUUGCAAUUAACUUUUUUUAUCAGAUCAAUGAUAGAAGAAUAUAAACCAAGCUUUCUUAGUAAUUUUUCGGCAGUUUUAAAAAAAGUUUUAACAUUAGGAAGAAGUGGAGGUAUACCUAAAAAUUACCUUGACUUAGAAGAAUAUUCAGAAGUUGAUUAUUUAUUAAGAUCCAACAAGUAUGAUAGAGUACAGAGAGUUAUAAAUCAAACUGUUAAAGUUUUUAAAAAAAAAUUCUUAUCAGCAUCUUUUACUCCAACAAUUUUUGCUCAAUACAUUUCUUUGUUCUUAUCUUUAUGGGUUUUUGAAAAUGAAAAAAAUGUUUCAUGGGAAAAUACAAACAUAACUAGAUUUAAAAAAUUAUUUUUUACGUCUUAUUUCGCCCACAAAUCCGGACCAGUCGAAAAGGCAACCGAAAUAGUAUAUAAUAAAUGCCAUAAAAAAACUGACGCAAUUGUGUUAGGAUGUAUAGCUGAUUAUGGUGGAAAACGUAGAAAAAGGUUGAAAUUUAUAACAAAAAAAUGUAAACCAACAAGAAUACCAAUCAGAAAAAGAAAUAUUCGUAACAUAUUAAAAACAGUUAUGACCACAUUAUCAGACCCAUUGGAUAUUCUAAAAAUCGCUACCGAUUUAUCUACAAGAUGUUCACAUUAUAGUCGAAGUGGUUCAAUGGAUAAAAAAAGAAAAGACAAAAAAAAAAUGAAUUAUGAUGUAUUUACAAGAUCAGAAUUAUCCUUUAGAUUUAUUUGUGCCCAAGUUACAAAAAAUCUUGUAAGCAAGGCAAUAAAUAACGUAUCUAAACUUAAAGACUUCAGUAAAGCUGAGUAUGUAAUUGAACAAACACUAAAUAGCAUACAAUAUUUAAAAAUAAGAAAUCACAGAGAUAAAAGUAAUGUAAUAACUAUCCUUUGUCCUUUUAUGGAAAAAAAUGAUCCACAAAUAAGGGAUUUGGAAAGAGCUAAUAUUAGUCUUUUUGUUUAUAAAAACGUUGGAUUGUUAAAAAUGAUAAAAGGAAAAAUAAAAACUAAAAUAUUCAGAAGAUCUGUUUCGAUUAGAAGAGGUAUUGUUUCAGACAGCCCAGUUUUAAUAAAAGUUGGAGCUCGAAAAUUUAAUGGUUUAUUGUAUUCUGGAGGAUACCAUUUAAAUGUUCCCGGCAUUCAGAAUGAUACUUAUCACAUUGGACUUUCUCAUACAAGAAUGGUUUAUAAUGGAGAAAAAUUCGUUGACGAGCUAGAAAUACUAAGACCUAAUGGUGUUAAAAAAAUUAUUAUGCAAGAUACAAAUAAUGACGAUAGAAGAAUGUUUGUUUUAGAAGAUAACACUGUAGUAUCUGAAUUUGAUUAUGCUAUACAUAAUCCUAUGGCUAAUAUAGCCGUUUUUGAAGGAAAUAAUUAUAUAGCAUCCCAUGCCCUUUAUGGUAUAUUAAUGGAAAGUGAAAGAAUUGUUUGGACUGGACCGCAGACCGGAUGGGUUGUAGAAUUUGCCUUGAACACCGUUUCCAACACUCCAAUUCCAAUAUUUGAUGGAAAUGCAUGGGUUUUACUUGAAAAGUUAAGCAUUAAAAGUAUUUUAGGUGACCAUUUACCAAAAGGUGUCAAUGGAAAUGAAUUAGCAACUACAGUUAAUUUUAUUGUUUUAAAUAAGCAUGGAAAACCUAUACUUGAGAAUUUAA
ensembl:lncRNA